UACAGAGGGUGCGAGCGUUAAUCGGAAUUACUGGGCGUAAAGCGUGCGUAGGUGGAUACCUAAGUCGAAUGUGAAAUCCCCGGGCUUAACCUGGGAACUGCAUCCGAUACUGGGUGUCUAGAGUAUGGUAGAGGAAAGUGGAAUUCCCGGUGUAGCGGUGAAAUGCGUAGAUAUCGGGAGGAACAUCAGUGGCGAAGGCGACUUUCUGGACUAAUACUGACACUGAGGCACGAAAGCGUGGGGAGCAAACAGG
rnacentral:rRNA from 1 species